rnacentral:rRNA from 1 species
GACGAACGCUGGCGGCAUGCCUAAUACAUGCAAGUCGAGCGAACAGAUGGAGUGCUUGCACUUCUGACGUUAGCGGCGAACGGGUGAGUAACACGUAAGGAAUCUACCUAUAAGCGGGGGAUAACAUUCGGAAACGGGUGCUAAUACCGCAUAAUAUCUUCUUCCGCAUGGAAGAAGAUUGAAAGACGGCUCUGCUGUCACUUAUAGAUGACCUUGCGUUGCAUUAGUUAGUUGGUGGGGUAACGGCCUACCAAGACGAUGAUGCAUAGCCGACCUGAGAGGGGGAUCGACCACAUUGGGACUGAGACACGGCCCAAACUCCUACGGGAGGCAGCAGUAGGGAAUCUUCCGCAAUGGGCGAAAGCCUGACGGAGCAAUGCCGCGUGAGUGAAGAAGGCCUUCGGGUCGUAAAACUCUGUUAUAAGAGAAGAACAAAUUGUAGAGUAACUGCUAUAGUCUUGACGGUAUCUUAUCAGAAAGCCACGGCUAACUACGUGCCAGCCGCCGCAGUAA